GAAAACGCUGGCGGCGUGCCUCUUACAUGCAAGUCCAGCGGAUUGAAGGGAGCUUGCUCCCUGAUAUUAGCGGCGGACGGGUGAGUAACACGUGGGCAACCUGCCCUGCAGAUGGGGAUAACUCCGGGAAACCGGGGCUAAUACCGAAUAAUCGGUUCUUCCGCAUGGAAGAACUCUGAAAGACGGUUUCGGCUGUCACUGCAGGAUGGGCCCGCGGCGCAUUAGCUAGUUGGUGGGGUAACGGCCUACCAAGGCGACGAUGCGUAGCCGACCUGAGAGGGUGAUCGGCCACACUGGGACUGAGACACGGCCCAGACUCCUACGGGAGGCAGCAGUAGGGAAUCUUCCACAAUGGACGAAAGUCUGAUGGAGCAACGCCGCGUGAGCGAAGAAGGUUUUCGGAUCGUAAAGCUCUGUUGCGAGGGAAGAACAAGUACGGGAGUAACUGACCGUACCUUGACGGUACCUCGUCAGAAAGCCACGGCUAACUACGUGCCAGCAGCCGCGGUAAUACGUAGGUGGCAAGCGUUGUCCGGAAUUAUUGGGCGUAAAGCGCGCGCAGGCGGUCCUUUAAGUCUGAUGUGAAAGCCCACGGCUCACCGUGGAGGGUCAUUGGAAACUGGAGGACUUGAGUACAGAAGAGGAAAGCGGAAUUCCACGUGUAGCGGUGAAAUGCGUAGAGAUGUGGAGGAACACCAGUGGCGAAGCGGCUUUCUGGUCUGUAACUGACGCUGAGGCGCGAAAG
rnacentral:rRNA from 1 species